UAUUAUCUUCAGGGCGGGGCGAGAUUCCCCACCGGCGGUAAAGCCCGCGAGCUAAUAAUUAGCAUGAUUCGGUGAAACUCCGAGGCCGACAGUAUAGUCUGGAUGAAAGAAGGUAGAA
rnacentral:ncRNA from 2 species